GUUUUCCCGUUGGGACGCUCUCUCUGUCCUCCACCUGCUCCCCUGCCGAGCCUGGAGGCUCUCCUCUGGAAGGUCAACUCCCAGUUCCCAGGAGGGCCGCUCCCUCCCUGAACGUCCCCAAUCCGGUGUACACGUGCUUCAUGGCACACGCCGCAUGGUCCUGUGACUGCAAAUUCCUGACGGCAGGAAGGAAGAAGGGAAAAGGGAGCCAGUGGUUUGUCCCCUCAGCUGACUGCCACUUACCUCUGGCUGCCCAGACCCCACGGCUGCCCCUCUGCAGGGAAGACUUAGGAAGUGAGAAGUUCAGCCUUCUGGCUUCUACAGCAGAAGGCAGGCGAGGGGUCAGGAGGUCUCUCUGGCUUCCCAGAACGCCUGAUGACACAGCUGGACCAGCAAGAAAGUUGGG
rnacentral:lncRNA from 1 species